rnacentral:rRNA from 1 species
GAUGAACGCUGGCGGCGUGCUUAACACAUGCAAGUCGAACGAAGCGCUAUGAAGUUUCGGCGGAAGAGUGACUGAGUGGCGGACGGGUGAGUAACGCGUGGGCAACCUGCCUCAUACAGGGGGAUAACACUUAGAAAUAGGUGCUAAUACCGCAUAAGCGCACAGUACUGCAUGGUACAGUGUGAAAAACUCCGGUGGUAUGAGAUGGACCCGCGUCUGAUUAGCUAGUUGGUGGGGUAAAGGCCUACCAAGGCGACGAUCAGUAGCCGGCCUGAGAGGGUGAACGGCCACAUUGGGACUGAGACACGGCCCAAACUCCUACGGGAGGCAGCAGUGGGGAAUAUUGCACAAUGGGGGAAACCCUGAUGCAGCGACGCCGCGUGAGUGAAGAAGUAUUUCGGUAUGUAAAGCUCUAUCAGCAAGGAAGAAAAUGACGGUACUUGACUAAGAAGCCCCGGCUAACUACGUG